AUUGAACGCUGGCGGCAUGCCUUACACAUGCAAGUCGAACGGUAACGGGCCUUCGGGUGCCGACGAGUGGCGAACGGGUGAGUAAUGCAUCGGAACGUACCUUUCAGUGGGGGAUAACGUAGCGAAAGUUACGCUAAUACCGCAUAUUCUGUGAGCAGGAAAGCAGGGGAUCGCAAGACCUUGCGCUGAUUGAGCGGCCGAUGUCAGAUUAGCUAGUUGGGGAGGUAAAGGCUCACCAAGGCGACGCGCUGUAGCGGGUCUGAGAGGAUGAUCCGCCACACGGGAACUGAGACACGGUCCAGACUCCUACGGGAGGCAGCAGUGGGGAAUUUUGGACAAUGGGCGCGAGCCUGAUCCAGCCAUGCCGCGUGAGUGAAGAAGGCCUUCGGGUUGUAAAGCUCUUUCGGCCGGGAAGAAAUCGUAUGGGUUAAUACCCUGUGCGGAUGACGGUACCGGCAUAAGAAGCACCGGCUAACUACGUGCCAGCCACCGCAGUAAGAC
rnacentral:rRNA from 1 species